rnacentral:rRNA from 1 species
UGGGGAAUAUUGCACAAUGGGCGCAAGCCUGAUGCAGCCAUGCCGCGUGUGUGAAGAAGGCCUUCGGGUUGUAAAGCACUUUCAGCGAGGAGGAAGGGUAGUGUGUUAAUAGCACAUUGCAUUGACGUUACUCGCAGAAGAAGCACCGGCUAACUCCGUGCCAGCAGCCGCGGUAAUACGGAGGGUGCAAGCGUUAAUCGGAAAUACUGGGCGUAAAGCGCACGCAGGCGGUUUGUUAAGUCAGAUGUGAAAUCCCCGCGCUUAACGUGGGAACUGCAUUUGAAAGCUGGCAAGCUAGAGUCUUGUAGAGGGGGGUAGAAUUCCAGGUGUAGCGGUGAAAUGCGUAGAGAUCUGGAGGAAUACCGGUGGCGAAGGCGGCCCCCCUGGACAAAGACUG